rnacentral:rRNA from 1 species
UGCAGUCGAGCGCGCCUUUCGGGGUGAGCGGCGGACGGGUUAGUAACGCGUGGGAAUAUGCCCAAUGGUACGGAAUAGCCUCUGGAAACGGAGAGUAAUACCGUAUGAGCCCUUCGGGGGAAAGAUUUAUCGCCAUUGGAUUAGCCCGCGUUAGAUUAGGUAGUUGGUGGGGUAAUGGCCUACCAAGCCUACGAUCUAUAGCUGGUUUUAGAGGAUGAUCAGCAACACUGGGACUGAGACACGGCCCAGACUCCUACGGGAGGCAGCAGUGGGGAAUCUUGGACAAUGGGGGCAACCCUGAUCCAGCCAUGCCGCGUGAGUGAUGAAGGCCUUAGGGUCGUAAAGCUCUUUCGCCUGUGAAGAUAAUGACGGUAGCAGGUAAAGAAACCCCGGCUAACUCCGUGCCAGCAGCCGCGGUAAUACGGAGGGGGUUAGCGUUGUUCGGAAUUACUGGGCGUAAAGCGCACGUAGGCGGAUCGGAAAGUUGGGGGUGAAAUCCCGGGGCUCAACCCCGGAACUGCCUCCAAAACUAUCGGUCUAGAGUUCGAGAGAGGUGAGUGGAAUUCCGAGUGUAGAGGUGAAAUUCGUAGAUAUUCGGAGGAACACCAGUGGCGAAGGCGGCUCACUGGCUCGAUACUGACGCUGAGGUGC